UACGUAGGGUGCGAGCGUUAAUCGGAAUUACUGGGCGUAAAGCGUGCGCAGGCGGUUGUGCAAGACAGAUGUGAAAUCCCCGGGCUUAACCUGGGAACUGCAUUUGUGACUGCACGGCUAGAGUGUGGCAGAGGGGGGUAGAAUUCCACGUGUAGGAGUGAAAUGCGUAGAGAUGUGGAGGAAUACCGAUGGCGAAGGCAGCCCCCUGGGAUAACACUGACGCUCAUGCACGAAAGCGUGGGGAGCAAACAGG
rnacentral:rRNA from 1 species